rnacentral:rRNA from 1 species
AACGUAGGAGGCAAGCGUUAUUCGGAUUUACUGGGCGUAAAGGGUGUGCAGGCGGUUCGGAAAGUUGGAUGUGAAAGCUCCUGGCUUAACUGGGAGAGGUCGUUCAAAACUUCCGGACUAGAGGAUGAGAGAGGAAAGCGGAAUUCCGAGUGUAGUGGUGAAAUGCGUAGAUAUUCGGAGGAACACCAGUGGCGAAAGCGGCUUUCUGGCUCAUUUCUGACGCUCAUACACGAAAGCUAGGGUAGCAAACGGGAUUAGAUA